rnacentral:rRNA from 1 species
CCUACGGGAGGCAGCAGUGGGGAAUAUUGCGCAAUGGGCGAAAGCCUGACGCAGCGACGCCGCGUGAGGGAUGAAGGUCUUCGGAUCGUAAACCUCUGUCAGCAGGGAAGAACGGUCACGGGGCUAAGCAGCAGUGAAUUGACGGUACCUGCAAAGGAAGGACAGGCUAACUCCGUGCCAGCAGCCGCGGUAAGACGGAGGGUGCGAGCGUUAAUCGGAAUUACUGGGAGGAAAGCGCUCGUAGGCGGUAUGUCAAGUCAAGGGUGAAAGCCCCGCGCUCAACGUGGGAACUGCCUUUGAAACUGGCAAACUGGAGUGUGUUCGAGGCUAGUGGAAUUC